UACGUAGGGUGCGAGCGUUGUCCGGAAUUAUUGGGCGUAAAGAGCUCGUAGGCGGUUCGGUAAGUCGGGUGUGAAACCUCCAGGCUCAACCUGGAGACGCCACCCGAUACUGCUGUGACUAGAGUCCGGUAGGGGAGCGUGGAAUUCCUGGUGUAGCGGUGAAAUGCGCAGAUAUCAGGAGGAACACCAGCGGCGAAGGCGAGUCCCUGGACAACUCCUGACACUGAGGCACGAAAGCUAGGGGAGCAAACAGG
rnacentral:rRNA from 1 species